rnacentral:rRNA from 1 species
AGUGAACGCUGGCGGUAGGCCUAACACAUGCAAGUCGAACGGCAGCACAGUAAGAGCUUGCUCUUACGGGUGGCGAGUGGCGGACGGGUGAGGAAUACAUCGGAAUCUACUUUUUCGUGGGGGAUAACGUAGGGAAACUUACGCUAAUACCGCAUACGACCUACGGGUGAAAGCAGGGGAUCUUCGGACCUUGCGCGAUUGAAUGAGCCGAUGUCGGAUUAGCUAGUUGGCGGGGUAAAGGCCCGCCAAGGCGACGAUCCGUAGCUGGUCUGAGAGGAUGAUCAGCCACACUGGAACUGAGACACGGUCCAGACUCCUACGGGAGGCAGCAGUGGGGAAUAUUGGACAAUGGGCGCAAGCCUGAUCCAGCCAUACUGCGUGGGUGAAGAAGGCCUUCGGGUUGUAAAGCCCUUUUGUUGGGAAAGAAAAGCAGCAGGUUAAUACCCCGCUGUUCUGACGGUACCCAAAGAAUAAGCACCGGCUAACUUCGUG